AUGAGCUUGGAGCCGCAGGGCUUAAUCCCGCGCGGCUCAGAGAUGGGUUUCUGGACUCGCGAAGCAGCUGCAACAAGGCAUCACUCAUUGUACAAGUAUUUCCAUUUCUGAGAGCAAAAGGAAGAACUUAAGCGGGCGGCACUUGGAGUGUAAAUUGCUUUGUAGUAUUUAAAGGCAGAAUGGAUCCUGGGCAGCCGAGCUGAAACACUCUUGAAGAUAUACUCAGAAGUAAUGUUUUACCAGCUAUCUGGGCAUCCUUUAGCUCAGUCAAGUUGAUGCAUAAAAUUAACCAUCACAAGUUGCUUCCCCCUUCUUUACUAUAAAAAGUCAACUUUUGAGCCUUUUCUUAAAUGCCAUAUCUCCUGGGAGGCUUUUUCUAACUCACAGGCAGAGAUAGAUAUUCUGAAGCCUUAAAUUUGUACCUUGGUCACACAACAAACCAGCAGGACUUCCUGUGAAAUCAUGACCCCCAUGUGCUCUUUCAGCCCUCAUCAAUUCGUACCUCUAAGCACCUGAGAGCCAAAGUAAACCACAGGAAACCACAGGUACUAACUCUUUUAGACCUGAUGAAGUGUCUCCCAAAGACAGUCUGGCAUGACUCAAACUAAACAUCAUCCUUUCCUGGCUCUCAAUCCUGCUGGUCCCUGAACUAAAACACACAUUAUCAACUCUACUUGUUCUUAGUCCUUUGGAGUCAGACUGGGACUACACCAUUGACUCUUCCGGAACUCCAGCUUACUGACUACAGAUCUUGGAACUUUUCAGCUUUCACAACCAUUUCACAGACAAGAUGCUAAUUUACAAAUGGGAAUGUUUCCUACCUGCUUAUAUUUCUAUUACAGAUGCUUGCUCUUAAUACCUAGCAACUAUGCUUGUACAAGUCCAAGAGACCUGUUGUGUGGAGGCUCACGUGAAGAAGAAUGUAGGUGCCUGGACUACAGCUUGAUUGAGCUGUCAUCUGAUAACCCAUAAGAACUUGAUAGCCUUAGGCAGAGUCCUACUAUUUCACCCAGGCUGGAGUGCAGUGGCACAAUCAUGGCUCACUUCAGGCUCAACUUCCUAGGCCCAAAAGAUUCCCUCACCUCAACCUCCUGAGUAGCUGGGAUUACAGGUAUGAUCGUGAUCUCUUCCCAGGAAAAAGGUAAUGAUCCUGGAACAAGAUAUAUAUGCCGGAAUGAGACUUGGCUGUUCUGAAAAACUACAGCGUGUUCUGUGGAGAACUGUGAGUACUUCUGAUGGAAAAAUGAGAGGCUGAAUGCCAAAAAGCAAAGGAACUGUUUCCUAAGAGUCGUAAGACCCUAAAGAACUUGUCCCUCUUUUGGUGAUCUAGGGGAUAAAGAAGUGGAAUGGAAAUGGAGAGGAAUAGCUGGAACAAAAAAGCAAAGAGGUAUAAUCUAUCAUUAAGAUAGAGCCUUUGUAAGCAUGUGUGUACCAAAAAAAAAAAAAAAAAAGAAC